GUAGUUAGCCGGGGCUUCCUCCUUGGCUACCGUCACUUUCUUCGUCACCAAGGACAGAGGUUUACAAUCCGAAGACCUUCUUCCCUCACGCGGCGUUGCUGGGUCAGGCUUGCGCCCAUUGCCCAAUAUUCCCCACUGCUGCCUCCCGUAGGAGUCUGGACCGUGUCUCAGUUCCAGUGUGGCCGAUCAGCCUCUCAGCUCGGCUACCCAUCGUUGGCUAGGUGGGCCGUUACCCCGCCUACUACCUAAUGGGACGCGAACCCCUCCUUCUGCGGAUUGCUCCUUUGACCCCUGAGCCAUGCGACUCUGUGGUCUUAUGCGGUAUUAGCACUUGUUUCCAGGUGUUAUCCCCCUCAAAAGGGCAGGUUGUUCACGCGUUACUCACCCGUUCGCCACUAGCUAUAAAAUCCGAAAACCUAAUAAGCCGUUCGACUUGCAUGUGUUAGGCGAACGCCGCCCACGCGUCUCUCUGACACACANACACAACUACUACUACUAGAGACGACGCGACGGACGGACGACGAGA
rnacentral:rRNA from 1 species